UAAGGUCUUGCCUGAGUGCUGAAUGUCCCACUAGAAAGCUUCUGUAGUCGUGAUGAAUUGCUGUGAAGAUCAAAUCCAUCACCUUCGUCAACAUGACACCGUCGAAAGAAAAAUAUGGCCUCGCUGGUGGGAGCAACUGUGGUAGAGCAAGGCCUAGAGCUGGUCAUAGCUGGAGGGGCAUGUUGCUCCAUGUCGAAGUAGAAAGAAACUGCUGAUGCCUCACAAAUGCCAGCUCGCAAUGAAGAACAGGCGAAGGAUGGAUACGUUGCUUCCAUUCGGCAGCUUUCUUCUGCCUGGUUGCAAGCUCUGUGAAUGAGCAUGCUCUGUGAAGUUACAAGAUUUUCUUGAUUUGUUUCAUGAAUUCUUUCGUCACUAGUGUGUACGUGUGCUCUGUUGGGUGAAUUAAAUCCCAGAAAACAUAAUCACUU
rnacentral:lncRNA from 1 species